rnacentral:lncRNA from 1 species
GGUUGGCCUUUUGUGUACCCAAGGCAGGUGAAGGAAGUCAAAUUAGGAGCGCUGUGAUUGGAUGUAAGGGUACAAUAUAUUUUUUAUUUAUCUAUGAAUAACUGCAGUGUGUAUAUUUACAACAUAAAUUUUGAAACCUAUUGAAAUAUUUUCUAGAGAAUUAUUUGAAAAGACUUGCAAAAUUUCAUAAAUUUGGUGCAAAAUGACGGUGGGCAUGGAUAACAUAAACAAGCUCCGUUGGAAGUUGGUCAUGAUACUAUUUGGCUUUAAUUUUUAAAACACAAUAAUAAAGUACUAACACAACAUAUAACUGUUUUAUCCAAGUUUUUAUCUUAAAAAGUUGUAAAUUUAGAAAAUGUUAAUAUUGUCGCCUAUGGCAGAAUAAAUAGUACCGUUUUCCCUAUACUGAAGAU